rnacentral:rRNA from 1 species
AGUGAACGCUGGCGGUAGGCCUAACACAUGCAAGUCGAACGGCAGCACAGGAGAGCUUGCUCUCUGGGUGGCGGGUGGCGGACGGGUGAGGAAUACAUCGGAAUCUACCUUGUCGUGGGGGAUAACGUAGGGAAACUUACGCUAAUACCGCAUACGACCUUCGGGUGAAAGUGGGGGACCGCAAGGCCUCACGCGAUUAGAUGAGCCGAUGUCGGAUUAGCUAGUUGGCGGGGUAAAAGCCCACCAAGGCGACGAUCCGUAGUUGGUCUGAGAGGAUGAUCAGCCACACUGGAACUGAGACACGGUCCAGACUCCUACGGGAGGCAGCAGUGGGGAAUAUUGGACAAUGGGCGCAAGCCUGAUCCAGCCAUACCGCGUGGGUGAAGAAGGCCUUCGGGUAGUAAAGCCCUUUUGUUGGGAAAGAAAUCUUGCCGGUUAAUACCUGGCGAGGAUGACGGUACCCAAAGAAUAAGCACCGGCUAACUUCGUGCCAGCCGCCGCCGUAAGAC